UACGUAGGGGGCAAGCGUUGUCCGGAUUUAUUGGGCGUAAAGAGCGUGUAGGCGGCCUGGAAGGUCAGCUGUGAAAACUCGAGGCUCAACCUCGAGACGUCGGUUGAAACCACCUGGCUAGAGUCCGGAAGAGGAGAGUGGAAUUCCCGGUGUAGCGGUGAAAUGCGCAGAUAUCGGGAAGAACACCCGUGGCGAAGGCGGCUCUCUGGGACGGUACUGACGCUGAGGUGCGAAAGCGUGGGGAGCAAACAG
rnacentral:rRNA from 1 species